rnacentral:ncRNA from 2 species
GAGCUAACUAAGGGGUGCUACCGCCGGAAAAGAGAAAAAAGCGGAUGCUGAGAAUAUACCCAUCGACCUGAACCAGGUAAUGCUGGCGUAGGAAAAUAAGGCACAUUCCCC